GAGAGAGUGUGAUCCAGUGCACAUUUUAAAAAAUUGACCUUUGAAAAUUGGCAUGGACAGGACAAAAAUUGAAAUAGUAUGUCACCACCGUCUGUGGAUAUAUAGAUCCCUAUUGGCUCAUAGAUGUAAUGCUGGGAAAAUAAGUCUUUUUUCCUUGAUUGUGUCCUUUUUGAAUUAAAUAAGAAAUGAAGUCAGCAGCAAAGAGUGAGGAGGGAUGGUUACAUAUUUGAGAAGAGAAAAAGUUCCCUGUAUAUGAAGUGAUGUAUGGAUCUACAUAAGUGUGCUCCAAGUACUGAGUUCUUUGUGACAUUGUUGUUGCCUGUACCUGUACCCUCUCCUUUAGUUACUAGAGAUUUGGGACAGAUGAAUAGAAUGGAUGGACUUUUGAAGGCUCUUUUGGACUGAAGAUUGUAUUAUCCAGUUUUUCUCUUUUUGUACCAACUCUUGCCUUCUGCAACAAUUCAACAAGGAUUUAUUGCAUUCCAUUAUCUGAAGACAUAAUUUCUGCCCUCAAGGAGUUGACAGUCCUAUUCAUUCCAUCCGUGGAGGUGAGAUACUUUUUAGGAUUACUAUGUCAGAGUUUUAAAAAAUACUGAAGACAGAUUGGCACCUGCUAUGAUCUGAAUAUGUCCUUCGAAAUUUGUAUGUUGACAUCCUAGUGCUCAACAUGGUGGUAUUAGGAGGUGCAUUCUUGAGGAGGUGAUUUCCGAUUUCCAUGUGCUCACCAAGUAGGUUACUGAAGCAUGUGCAGCUACUCUAGCAGACAAUAGCCCUCAGGUUCCCCGGGCUAUCCCCUUGUGCAGGUUUAAAGUGGAGUGUUUUCACUGAAACACUUCCUCAUGAACAGCUGUCCUUGGAACCCUAAAAAGUAAGUUUUUGAUAAGUUGCUGAUGGUGGAUUUUCACCCUACUAAGAAACCACAGCAACUUCUCUGUCAUCAGUGAGCCAUAGAUGUGUCUUCUCUAAUGAAGUCUGGAUCUUAGCUCUGGGGCAGCUGCUUUGGGUACCCAAUCUCAGCCUGAAGACUGUUCCUUAAAUGGACUAUUGCUCUGUUCUUUAGUAUCCUUAUGCUUUUUAUUAGCCAUUCCUUCCUUAUCCCAACAUGCUACUAUGGUAAAUUCUUCAUUUUAAACUUUUCCCAUUUGAACUAUUAUGUAAUUCCUCUCUACUGAUUGGACACUAACUGAUAGAAUUAUCUCGGUUUUACAAACUAAGUUGAUGUCAGGAAGCAGUAUAAAUUUGCACAAGAUCAUGUAGCUAGUAAGUGAAGUACUGGGAUGUGAAUCCAAGCUGUAUGGCUCUGGAGCCUGUGCACCUAGCCAUUAAGAUAAACUACCUCCAAUACAUAAAUAUUAGCAAUGAGAUCCUGCUGUGUAACACUGGAAAUUAUGUCUAGUCACUUAUGAUGGAGCAUGAUAAUAUGAGAAAAAAGAAUGUAUACAUUUACGUGUAACUGGGUCGCCAUGCUGUACAGUAGAAAAUUGACAGAACACUGUAAACCAGCUAUAAUGGAAAAAAAUAAAAAGCAUUAUGUAAAAAACAUGAAUAUAAUGAAUAUGUUAUAUGAAGUAACCAAUUGAGGGAUAUUAAGCACUUUUUUAUUCUUAAUUUGGGGGUGAUAUCUAAACCAUUAUGUAUACAUGAUAGAACACCAGAUUGCAUAGAUUUCUUUUUAUAAUUCAAGAGAUGUGAAGAAUAGCCAGCUGGACAGAACAGAAGAUAUAACCCAGAAUACAAGUCAGAAAGGUGAAUAGAUGGAAAAUACACAGAUUAUUAUUAUUAUUUUUUUUUUUGCUUUUUGCUUUUUAGGGCCACACUUGCAGCAUAUAGAAGUUUCUAGGCUAAGGUCGAAUUGGAGCUUUAGCUGCUGGCCUACACUACAGCUCACAGCAAUGCUGGAUCCCAUUGAGCAAGACCAGGGAUUGAACCUGCAUCCUCAUGGAUACUAGUAGGAUUUGUUUCCACUGCAUCACAAUGGGGACACCUUCAUAGCUUUCUAUCACAUAUCAUAUUCACAACUGCUCACUUGCUAUGAUUCUGUGUUUUCAAUGAAAAGUUAUUAAGUCAUUUAAAAUCUUAGAUAUCAAGCUCCCAUUCAUGUUAAUUUCUCCAUGUGAGUCAUCUCUGUUUUUAUUAUGUAAAUAAAUGUUUUAUGGAAAAAUUUUCUGUGCAUGUAUUGCCCAGUUAUACAGAUAGCAUGUAACUUUUCAAAUGUUUUCUCAAAGGAUACUUAGGAUUAAUUAUAUAAUAAAUUCUCCAAUGGUAAAAUCUUAAAACAUACACAAUGUGUUAUUUGUGACUUUUGGAUACCUUAUUAUUACUCUGCAUUUAGUAGUAUGAGGGAAAAUGCUAAAUAUUGUUCUUGGGAGUUCCCAUUGUGGCUCAGUGGUAACAAACCCAACUAAUAUCCAUGAGAAUGAGGGUUCGAUCCCUCGCCUUGCUCAGUGGGUUAAGGAUCUGGCAUUGCCGCAAGCUGUGGUGUAGGGGACAGAUGUGGUCCCUGUGUAUCUGGUAUUGCUGUGGCUGUGGCUGUGGCGUGGGC
rnacentral:lncRNA from 1 species